ACCCCAACUGUGUCAACCACUCAAACAACAGAGCUGACUGGCUUAAAAGUACUUUGGGCUGUUUGUUGGUUUUGCGCCCCUAGAAGAACUCAAACGACUGCAUGGAAACUUCUCAGUGGUGGAUGUCCUGCCUAUGCUGAGCCCCAGGCAGCUGGGGGAGGUGGCCUCCACCCCUGGUCAGCUCAGAAACCCUGGAGAUGUCCAUGAUACUGAUUCAUGUGCUUCCCAGAGAUCUGGGCGAGUUCUUUGACAUCGUUUCUCCAGCUGUUGAGGUAUGGAUGAGUGAUAUCCAUGGUCAAUUCUUAUACCACUGCCUUAUUUCCUAUAUACCUUUGCUUAGUACAAUCACCUCAUGUGUUUCUGUCCUUCAGGGUCUUCACCUUCCGGUGGAUGUGCGUCAGGUGCUGCUCCAGCAGGUGUUUGACAAUGCCAACCUCAAAGACCCUGAGGUGCUGGUGUGGUUGGGCCAGAGACUCCACCCACUUUUACCCAACCUAACAGAUGAGCAUGUGGCCCCCCUCUUCAACAUCGUCAGACACAGAGACUGCAACACCAGCCAAGAAACAGUGGCGUUGUUGAACUCUAUCCUACCAUCACUGUCCAACGGCACACAGGCUGCUGUCCAGUAUCAAAUAAUCAUGUCUCUCAGAGGUAUUCACCUGGUCAUCAUCUCCAGUGGUGUGAAGUACUUAAAAUCAACUCCACUACGUUGCUAUAGGAACAACAGCUUCUUCAUGUUCCUGAGACAAUCCUUCCUCAACUUUACAUUCCCAAAGUUGACCAACUUCCUCUCCCUUAUUCCACCACAGCGGGAAUAUGAGCUGCUCAACACCAUGCAUCCCUCAGAGCUCGGCACCUUCCUCAGGAAGCCAGAGGUGGUGGACAACAAGACUAAGCUCUGCACAAUCUUCCGAAACUACAAAGAAACUCCAGAGUUCUUGGAAACCGUAAGGACACACACUGCUGAUUGUGGUCACCAUUUUCAAGCACUCACUGAGUAUCCCUUUUUUAGGAUUUACUGA
rnacentral:lncRNA from 8 species